AACUUUUGUCGGUCAGACACAAGAAGGCGUGCAGAAGAAGAAUUUGGAUGUUUGUUUGAAGCCAGCCACGACACAGACACACAGAACACGAGUUCGAAUGCAUCAAUUUGACAACAGACACACAUCUGACCUCAGUGGGCCUGGAACUGUUCUAGGGCAUUUAGAUGGACAGGUUUUCGUGACAUGGGAUUUAAAUGAUCUCACACUUAAACACCGAUGCGUAAUGAUGUUGGUGAAGUUCAGACUGUUAAAGAAUCUAGAAUAGUAAAUUCUGGCGAACUUCUGGCGGUUGGAUGUAGAGUAAAACCAGGUCCAGAUUUCGAUUACAAGAUAUACGCCAUCGAUCCUUUCAGCUGUGACGUUGUCCUAAGAAUGUACGAGCCAUUGUCCUUAGUUAUAUGGGACAACGGUGAAAGAGAUAUGUUUAGAUAUGGCAUGGACGGCACGAAGGAAAUAGAGCUAGCGUAAAACAGGUACAAAUGCAACUCGGCCGAUGGUACUUGAUGUGGAUGUACGGGUUGCCGGCUCAAGAGAAUUAAGGGGCUUUUUUCCUGCCUUUGUGAAGCGGCUUUUGGACCCUCACUUUGUAAAACAAACGAAUCGCAGAGUUUUCAUAACUGUUAUAAAACGGAUUCGCGAAAUUCGGAUGAUUCUGUGAAAACGAGCCGUGAA